rnacentral:rRNA from 1 species
UCUCCUGGAAACGGGUGGUAAUGCCGGAUGCUCCAGUUGGACGCAUGUUCUUCUGGGAAAGAUUCUUCGGUAUGGGAUGGGGUCGCGUCCUAUCAGCUUGAUGGCGGGGUAACGGCCCACCAUGGCUUCGACGGGUAGCCGGCCUGAGAGGGCGACCGGCCACAUUGGGACUGAGAUACGGCCCAGACUCCUACGGGAGGCAGCAGUGGGGAAUAUUGCACAAUGGGCGCAAGCCUGAUGCAGCGACGCCGCGUGCGGGAUGACGGCCUUCGGGUUGUAAACCGCUUUUGACUGGGAGCAAGCCCUUCGGGGUGAGUGUACCUUUCGAAUAAGCACCGGCUAACUACGUGCCAGCAGCCGCGGUAAUACGUAGGGUGCAAGCGUUAUCCGGAAUUAUUGGGCGUAAAGGGCUCGUAGGCGGUUCGUCGCGUCCGGUGUGAAAGUCCAUCGCUUAACGGUGGAUCCGCGCCGGGUACGGGCGGGCUUGAGUGCGGUAGGGGAGACUGGAAUUCCCGGUGUAACGGUGGAAUGUGUAGAUAUCGGAAAGAACACCA